rnacentral:ncRNA from 1 species
GAAAGCCGUAUGAGCUGAAAGGUUCACGUACGGUUUGGAGGGCAGUUUGGAAGUUCUAAAGACAUUUCUGUCAAUGAAUCUAGUGAUUCUAC